GACGAACGCUGGCGGCGUGCCUAAUACAUGCAAGUAGAACGCACAGUUUAUACCGUAGCUUGCUACACCAUAGACUGUGAGUUGCGAACGGGUGAGUAACGCGUAGGUAACCUGCCUGGUAGCGGGGGAUAACUAUUGGAAACGAUAGCUAAUACCGCAUAAUAUUAAUUAUUGCAUGAUAAUUAAUUGAAAGGUGCAAUUGCACCACUACCAGAUGGACCUGCGUUGUAUUAGCUAGUAGGUGAGGUAACGGCUCACCUAGGCGACGAUACAUAGCCGACCUGAGAGGGUGAGCGGCCACACUGGGACUGGGACACGGCCCAGACUCCUACGGGAGGCAGCAGUAGGGAAUCUUCGGCAAUGGACGAAAGUCUGACCGAGCAACGCCGCGUGAGUGAAGAAGGUUUUCGGAUCGUAAAGCUCUGUUGUAAGAGAAGAACGGGUGUGAGAGUGGAAAGUUCACACUGUGACGGUAUCUUACCAGAAAGGGACGGCUAACUACGUG
rnacentral:rRNA from 1 species